AUCCAACUGACGAGUCCCGAAUAGAGCGAAAUGCGCGUUGUGGAU
rnacentral:hammerhead_ribozyme from 1 species